rnacentral:tRNA from 1 species
GGGCGCGUAGCUCAGCCGGUAGAGCAACUGGCUUUUAACCAGUAGGUCGACGGUUCGAUCCCGUCCGCGCUCACCA